rnacentral:rRNA from 1 species
AUACGGAGGGAGCUAGCGUUGUUCGGAAUUAUUGGGCGUAAAGCGCGCGCAGGCGGCUUCUUAAGUCUGAUGUGAAAUUCUGCAGCUCAACUGCAGGCGGGCAUUGGAAACUGGGGAGCUUGAGUACAGAAGAGGAGAGUAGAAUUCCACGUGUAGCGGUGAAAUGCGUAGAGAUGUGGAGGAAUACCAGUGGCGAAGGCGGCUCUCUGGUCUGUUACUGACGCUGAGGUGCGAAAGCGUGGGGAGCGAACAGGAUUAGAUACCCUGGUAGUCCACGCCGUAAACGAUGAAUGCCAGGUGUUAGGGGGGUCCAACCCCUUAGUGCUGAAGUUAACACAUUAAGCAUUCCGCCUGGGGAGUACGGCCGCAAGGCUGAA